CUCAAAACACGCUAACGGGCCUUGGGCCCAAGCCCACUUAACAACCUACUAAUAAAUACCCACUUAUAAUAAGAUUAGAACCCUAAUAUCUACAGCCGCAUAAGUAAUUUCCCCUCCCGCCCUUUUGUUUUCUUUGCUAAACAAUGAGCACACACAUACAUGAAGCCCCUCUGUCAUCUCAUCAAGUUCCUCACCCAAAUCACAACACUCAACCUACAUAAUCACUCUCAUCUUUCUCUCGAUUACACUUACAAACAAAAUCACAUACCUCUCGAUCCCCAUUUCUUCCCCUCUCUAUGAAGGCCGGCCGACCACCGCAGGUGGCGGCGGCGUUUGGCGACUGCAACAGUGGCGGCAAACGAGCGGCGGUGGUGGUGUGGCUCGGUGGGUUUCACGGCGGCGACGAGACUAGAGUCCGCCGCGACGGCAGACGAGCGGCGGUGGUGGUGCUUGGUCCGACGAGUUCACGCUCGGGUCAGGUUACGGGUCUCGGGUCAGUCGUGAUUCGGGAGAUUUGGAGUACACCGGGAGACCGCAACCAUCGGAGAUGAAUUCGUCGCCGGAGUCGAGUCGGAAGUUCAGUGACUUCUGUUCGUUUUGGGUUAAUCAUUUUGUUCGUUCCUUGGAAUUUCUCAAUCUUUACUCGUGCGUUAAUUCAAGAAAUUCUCAUACGCAACCAAGGAUUGUGACAGAUGAAUCCAGUAGGAUUGCCUAGAAACGCAUUUAAACUUUAUUGCUCAUUGUAUUGUAAUUUACUUUCAAUCCUGUUGUAUUCUGGUUCCAAUACUUGUAAGAAUUCAUUAUUAAUGAAAUGAAAUAUAAUUAUUUGAAUA